UGAAAUCCUCUCGUUGCUGAAUGUUGGAAUGCUGAUGUUCAAAGUCUGAGGUCAUGGAGGACAGACAGGAUGUGUGUGGGUUGCAUGUGCCCCGGGUGGCCUUGGGUUGAGUGUGGGCCUCGGUCCACCCGGACAGAUGCUGGCUAUCUAUGAAGAUGAAGGACAAGGGACACAGCUGGGAACUGGACUUCUCUGGGAGGGAACAGUAUAUGGACUGGGCUUGCUCCAUGCAGCCCUCCAGGCCUGGGUUUGGGAGCUGCACAUGGCUGUCUCAGCUAAGCAGGAAGAAGUGCGUGUGUGUGGAUGGGAGAGAGCAACCCUGCCAUGCUGAGAAGCAGCCUGAGAAGCAGCCCAACUCCUCCUGCUUGUACCAGCCCCAGGCAGGGACCAGCGCCCAUCCUGCUCACGGCUGUGUCCCAUGUGCCCAGGCCAGGUGGCCACAGAGUGCUCCAUGUCUGCAGGAUGAAUGCAUAGAGAGAUGUCAGGAUUUGGAGGACCUUGUCAAGACACUGGCAGGUGACCUAAGGUCUGGCCAAGGAAGGAAGGGGGCUGUCUCUCAGUUAAGGAUGGGCCCUUCAGCUGGGAGAUUUCUGUGUGGACUGCUCGCAUGUAGGGCCUGGGCUCCCCAAGCUUACUUGUUUCAGCCUGAAAGCUUCUACCAGGGCAGUGGCGUGGCCAGGAAGCAGCGGGAAGGACAGGCGUGGCCCAGUGUAAUUGGCAGGCACCUCAAUGGCUUUGUAGUCACCACAGGUCUCCAGCUCCAAGUCCUGAGGAUGGAUCUGCUCAGUCAGCAUGCAGCUUAGGAUGUUGCCUGGCAUGGGCAGAGGAGGGCUGACUAUGGGCAGACAUGCCAUUCAUUAGUGGUACAGAGGGGACUGUGGUGGGAGGGACAGUGUUGGCUGGCAUCAGCUCACCCAGGACAGAACAGGAAACAGGUUGAUGGGCACUGACAGAAGGAAAGGGCUGGGCUUUCAUCCACAUGUGUGGGCCAGAGAAGACGAAGAAGCAAAAGCCAGGGCUGUGAGCAGGGGAAAGGACAAAGCCAAGGUGGGCAGCACUGGGCCAGGGCAGCGAAUGCCAGGCCCGUGGGCACUGUGUCUCCAGCUGCCCAAACUUUUCUGGCCUGGGGGCUUCGUUCCUAGGCUGGGGAACCCACUGCCCUCCAGAAGCUGCUGACACACGGGACUCGAUGCUUCUGUCUGGGUGGCCAAGGAUGUCAUUCUGAGCUGGGUUUCUGUUUCCCAGCACCUGCCCGCACCCAGUGGUAGCUUGGUGCCCCCUUGUUGCUACCUCUGCCCUUCUCCCCUCUCCCCAUCUCCUUCCACCCUGUACUUGCUAAAUCAACUCCUUGCACUACAACACUGUCUCCAGGCGUGGUUUUAGGGAACCCAGAAUAGAGACCUUCGCGCUAUGAUCUGUCACCUCUCCCUCAUCCUCUGCCUCCCCCUGGGUUCACGGCUCCGUCUCUGUGCCCCCAUGCUCCCUGCAGCCUGUGACCUUGAGAUGUGAGGUCAUGGCCAGUCACACUCACUCUCAUGGUGGCUGCUGGGGGUGAAAUGACCCACGAGGUAGUUGAAGAACUCAUGGAGCUGCAGAGGAAGCAGGGGACCUGGGUUUAGAAACCAGGUGGGAAGACGCAAGGGGCCCCAGGUCACUGCCCCAGCCUGAGAGGCAGAUAGAGGCACCGCCCGGCCGCACCUGGCCCUGGUCCUGCUGCCGGGCAUACUCUAUGGACUGGAAGAUGCUCCAGGUGCAGCGCCGCCGCAUCUCCAGCUGGGCCACAUAGCGCCGGUACCACCUCUGUAUCAGGACUGCCGCCUUGAAGGCUGUGAGCACACAAGAUGCCACCGUGAGCGGGGCACCGAGUCCCCGUACCCACCCACCUGUACCCUCCUGCUGGCCACAAAACUCAGUUCCCUGCCCACCCUACCUACCCAAUCCCCUGGAUAGCAUGGAGCCCUAGAUUCACUGUUUUCCUUUUUAAGUCAGCACACUGUCUUCUUGCAUAAAGAACUCACACUUUACAAAUUUGCAUUGGCUCAUUUGAGUCACCAGUGUUGCCACUCUAGUGCUCUGGGGCUGUCAUUAGGUAAAAUAAGGGCCACCUGGAAUCAAGCACCAUGUCCCUCAGUGGUGGGUCUGAUGACCAAGAGGCCUGAGCUCCAGCCUCAGGGAGUGUAUGCCCUUGGAACAGCUGGACACCAGGAGAACUUGCCACCCACCAGGAGGGGUGGAAUGGGGUGAAAGUCCAUUACAGCAGUCAGAAUAGUGCAUAAUUGAAAGCCCAAGGAUGAUUUAUUUCUGGACUUUUCCAUUUAACAUUUUCAGAAUUGGUUGACCAUAGGCAACAGAGAGAGUAGGAAGUAAAACCAUAGGUACAGGGACUAUGAUAUAGAGACGGGGAGAUUCGGGCCUGAGGACUCAGGAAGGAAGUGUAGAUGGGAAGGCUGUGAGAACUCAGCUCCCCUCAUGCGGACAAGGUGGGGUGGGUGGGCAUGGGGCAUCUGACAGUACGACACCACACUGACUCCCAGGAAAGUGGCAUCAGGCCAGUCACCUCGUGCCUUACUGUUGUCAUCUGAAAAGGGGCCAGACAAGGCAAAGGCUGGGACAACACAAUAAACAAACUCAUGUGAAUGCGUCACAAGAUCCCAGGGCAGAGAGACUUUCCCAGGUCUUGAGGGGUAGAGGCGUCUACAUAGCAAGUGUCUAUGCCUACACCUCUGGGCUGUCCUCUUUGCAGGGACUGUGGCAGGUGGCCAGGGGCAGCAUAGUGUCCUGGUUUCCCACACAAAGCUUGGGACCUGUAGUCAAGUAGUGCUGCAGAGAACUGGACAGCUGUCCACACAGAUAACUAGGUUCUUCUCAAGCUCCUGGGCAUGAAUGCGCUGCUGGCAAUGAAUGGGCUAUUCGUGGACAAAGCUAGAUUAAAAAGGAAACUCUGCAGGUUAGCUCAGGUUAACCUCAUGAAUAGGAGACAGAUUGACUUAACAUGUUUACUUUACAUUAGAGAGCUAAUAGAGUGCUUGCUGAUUUCCCUAACAGAAAAGAGGAUGGCAAAGCAGGAAAAGAAGCUGAGAGGGAAACAAAACCAAAAACAGAGAACUGAGUCAAAAUACUUCAAGGGGAAACUUCAGGUGUCAGGAGUGAAGAUGGAAUCCACAGCCAAAACCACCUACAGGAGCUGGAGUCAGGAUGCCCCCAGGGAACACCCACCGACCAUGCCUCCAUGGCUGGGGCUCCCAUGUGUGUGUGCGGCUGGGAUCAAGACCUCUGACCCUGUGCACUGCAGGGCACCGUGAUGGGGCUGCUGGGAAAGGCCAAAGCUGGAAGUUGUCUCCCAGCUCAGGCAGAGCAGGGAGUGAGCUUCCCUGGAGUCCAGGCCCCUGAGAGAAAGGAGGGCUGUGCCCAUCAACUGGAAACUGGAUAAAGAAGAUACGGUUUUUUAUAAAAUGGAGUACUACUCAGCCAUAAAGAACGAGAAACUAGAGACAUUUAUCGCUAAAUGGAUGCAUAUUGAAGACAUACUCUAAAGAGAAAUAAAUAGGACACACGUGUAAAUACUGAAUAGUUUCUCUGAUGUGAGAAACUGAAAGUGUAAAUAAGGAUUAAAAUGAAUAACUGAUAAUGUGAAAUAGUAAGAAAAGGUCCAAAGGGGUAGGGGAAAGGAAAGAAGGGUAAGGAAAAAUUAUGAGAAAAGGAAAAAAUGGAAACAAAGUCUUUGUAAAUAGGGAAGGAUGAAAGGGGUGAAGGGAAGACAGGAAAUGGGGAAAAAUAAGAACCAAGAUAUAUUAUGUAAAGGUACAAGUAUCCAAUGAUAAAUGUAAAUGCACUGUAUACCUAAAAUGUACCAAUAAAAGAAUCGAAGGGAAAAAUGUAGACCCAGUUAUCAUUAGAGAGUUUAAGUCUGUGAUGAUUAAGUCUAUGACAAUUUUGUGUCAACUUGAUUGGGUCCUGAGUUGCCCAGAUACUUGCUAAACAUUGUUUCUAUGUGUGCCUAUAUUUCUUACAAAAUUAUCAUUUAAAUUGUUAGACUGAGCAAAAAUUUCCCUUCUCAAUGUAUGUGAGUUCUAUCCAUUUCACGGAAGGCCUGAACAGAAUAAAAGACUGAGUAAGAAAUUAUGCUGUCUCUCUGCCUAAUUGGAGACAUCUGUCUUCUCAGACAAUUUCUUAUAAUAAACAUACAAACAAACAUCCAACCACAAACACAUCAUAUUGGUGCAUAAUAUGAAGU
rnacentral:lncRNA from 1 species